rnacentral:rRNA from 1 species
GAUGAACGCUAGCGGCAGGCCUAAUACAUGCAAGUCGAACGGUGUCUUCGGACAUAGUGGCGCACGGGUGCGUAACACGUAUGCAACCUACCUUACAUUGGGGGAUAGCCUUUCGAAAGGGAGAUUAAUACCGCAUAAGACAGUAGCUGGGCAUCCAGCAGCUGUUAAAGAUUUAUCGAUGUAAGCUGGGCAUGCGUCCAAUUAGCUAGUUGGUGAGGUAACGGCUCACCAAGGCAAUGAUUGGUAGGGGAACUGAGAGGUCAAUCCCCCACACUGGCACUGAGAUGCGGGCCAGACUCCUACGGGAGGCAGCAGUAGGGAAUAUUGGGCAAUGGACGCAAGUCUGAUCCAGCCAUGCCGCGUGCAGGAUGAAGGCGUUAUGCGUUGUAAACCGCUUUUAUACAGGAAGAAACGACUCUUGCGAGAGGCAUUGACGGUACUGUAUGAAUAAGCACCGGCUAACUCCGUGCCAGCCGCCGCCGUAAAAC